UACGUAGGUGGCAAGCGUUGUCCGGAAUUACUGGGUGUAAAGGGAGCGCAGGCGGGAAGCCAAAUCAGCUGUGAAAACUACGGGCUUAACUUGUAGACUGCAGUUGAAACCGGUUUUCUUGAGUGAAGUAGAGGUUGGCGGAAUUCCGAGUGUAGCGGUGAAAUGCGUAGAUAUUCGGAGGAACACCGGUGGCGAAGGCGGCCAACUGGGCUUUAACUGACGCUGAGGCUCGAAAGUGUGGGGAGCAAACAGG
rnacentral:rRNA from 1 species